rnacentral:rRNA from 1 species
UGCGUAGGGUGCAAGCGUUGUCCGGAAUUAUUGGGCGUAAAGAGCUCGUAGGCGGUCUGUCGCGUCUGCUGUGAAAACUCGGGGCUUAACCCCGGGCCUGCAGUGGGUACGGGCAGACUAGAGUGCGGUAGGGGAGACUGGAAUUCCUGGUGUAGCGGUGAAAUGCGCAGAUAUCAGGAGGAACACCGGUGGCGAAGGCGGGUCUCUGGGCCGUAACUGACGCUGAGGAGCGAAAGCGUGGGGAGCGAACAGG